rnacentral:rRNA from 1 species
GACGAACGCUGGCGGCGUGCUUAACACAUGCAAGUCGAACGAAGAGCGAUGGAAGCUUGCUUCUAUCAAUCUUAGUGGCGAACGGGUGAGUAACGCGUAAUCAACCUGCCCUUCAGAGGGGGACAACAGUUGGAAACGACUGCUAAUACCGCAUACGAUCUAAUCUUGGCAUCGAGGAUAGAUGAAAGGUGGCCUCUACAUGUAAGCUAUCACUGAAGGAGGGGAUUGCGUCUGAUUAGCUAGUUGGAGGGGUAACGGCCCACCAAGGCGAUGAUCAGUAGCCGGUCUGAGAGGAUGAACGGCCACAUUGGGACUGAGACACGGCCCAGACUUCUACGGGAGGCAGCAGUGGGGAAUCUUCCGCAAUGGACGAAAGUCUGACGGAGCAACGCCGCGUGAGUGAUGACCGGCUUCGGGUUGUAAAGCUCUGUUAAUCGGGACGAAAGGCCUUCUUGCGAAUAGUGAGAAGGAUUGACGGUACCGGAAUA